UGAUCGGUGACCAGUGAAGACAUGGCCUGUUGGAGCUGCAUGAUCCCAUGAAGAUAUCAUAUGGUCAAAACAAUCUGGCCAUUUAAGUGUAAACUAAGACUUCUAGAUACGCAAUAAAGUCUGGAAGCACUUGUUGCACAUGAAGCAAAUUAGUUUCCGGCCAAAGAUUACAGGGAAACAUGCUAGAAGUGGAACAUCAGAACUAAAGUUUAAUGAGCUUGUGAAGAUUGUCAGAUUCUCCGCUGAAGUAAAUCAUGGAGGAAUAAGUACAGGGCAGAGAAGAAUUGAUAUCUAUACAGUGUCUCUAUGUGAACAACCAUAAAAUGCCACCAUUUCCCUGCAGUUCUCUUGUUUUCUAUUCUGUUUCAUUCGGAACAAAGGAAACCACUUGUAAGAAUAAACCUAAAUGGCUCUCUGGUGAAGUGCACCACUUGUACAAAUACAUAGGUAUUGAAGUGUGUUUCUGCAUGUUGUAUGGGUACUUUGCUGUGCCAUCUGUUGGAGGGACUGCUCCUGCCAACAUGCACCAGGCUGAUCUGGAAUAUGCAGAUGGUGUACAAAAUGAAUAAAUAAAUGAAAAGUGAGUGCAUGUUA